rnacentral:antisense_RNA from 1 species
UCAGUGUAGAAAGCCCAGGCAUCGUCCCAUAGCUGGCCCUGUGAGUUUGCACUGAUUCCUCAGAAUACGUUUGCAGAUAGCUUAACUUCCAGAAUUCCUGAGUUUCACUAGUCCCCCUUCUUUAUGAUGAAUUGGAAAAAGGGUAUAUUCUGGGAUAAAGCAAGAGGAAACCGGGUGCAGCAAAGAUCCCUUGACCAUUUUUCCCAGUGGCCCAUUGCUCCUGCUGCUUUUUUCAUACCAGCUGAAUCUCCCUAAACCCCACGUCUGCGGCAAAGUCUUCGUGGUGAAACAGGCAGUCUUCAGUAUAAGAAGCAUCAAUCUCAGAUCUUACUCAUUUCCAACCUGUACCAAUCAAAGGCCCUCCCAGCCAAGAUAAAAGCAAAGUCUCCCUCCUCCAGAGCACAUGGGAAUGGCCCCCCAGUAGCUGGGGCAUGCAAGCUAAUGAAGUUUCAUCUUCCACCUCUACCCAAAUAUGACCUUGCUGAUACCAUCUCCUAUUAGAUGACAAAUCCGGAUGUUUCUAUUGCAUGGUUGUUAUUUGCCACAUGCUUCCUGGACAAGUUUCUAGCCAGCUGCCAUGUGUCAGGACACUCAGGCAGCCUGUGGAAAGCUGCACAUGGUGAGGAACAGAGGGCUUCAGUCAAACGACCAGUGCCAACAACCAU